GAGACUAAUGGAUGCUUUGGCCAGAUGCUCGCAUCUGUCGAGCUAGGCUUCUCCCUGCCCCCUCCCCCUUUUCGGUGCGCAUCGUACACGAUUUAUGUUUUUAUUUAGGAGAAUAAAUAAAUGAAGAGGGGAGCGUGGUCGAGGCCGGAGCGGGCGCUGAGAGGCUCCAUCUCGGGGCGGCCGCUCACGUGGAGGUCCCCGCGCGCUCCCAGCUACUCAUUAAGAUGCAAACGCGAAACUCAGGCUCCUAAUGAGGGGAAAAUAUAGAUUCCGGGGGCGCGCGGCCGGCUCGCGCGCGCCCGCAACGGGCCAGGAGCGUGUGCUUGCGUGCAAGCUUGGUGGGAAAGCCGGGAGGGACCCGAGGACACCUGGGCGGCCCACUCGGCGUUGGUUCUCCGAGGCCGGCGGACCUAGGGUGGGCAGUGUGCCCUGACGUGACCCUUGUCUGCGAGCAGAUGGGCCCCAGAGUCGAAUAUCUACGCCUCCUUGGGUGUCUAUGCUGGUGACCAGGGACGCUCCAGGCUCGCAGUCGCUCUUCCACGGGUGGCUGCCGAUGCAUGUGCCCAGGCAGGCCAUCAGGCCAAGAAACGGGGUCGGAACUCUGGGUCGUAGCCAGGAGGGCCCCAACUCCGUGCUUUCCCUUCUUCACCAUCUCGGGCCCGGAGCACUGCUGAGGAACCCGCCUUGGCAAGGCUGCGGCCAGGACGUAGCUGUCCCCAAAGGGCAAGAGCCCCAAAUGGGGCUAGCCGCACUACUGAGCCUGUUGUCCGCAGACUGCCAGGCCCUUCCAUCUGCGCGGCCCGCCAAGCCAGAGUUCUCAGACUUCCCCCU
rnacentral:lncRNA from 1 species